AACGAACGCUGGCGGCAUGCCUAACACAUGCAAGUCGAACGAGACCUUCGGGUCUAGUGGCGCACGGGUGCGUAACGCGUGGGAAUCUGCCCUUCGGUUGGGAAUAACUGAGAGAAAUUUCAGCUAAUACCUUAUAAUGUCUUCGGACCAAAGAUUUAUCGCCGGGGGAUGAGCCCGCGUAGGAUUAGGUAGUUGGUGGGGUAAUGGCCUACCAAGCCGACGAUCCUUAGCUGGUCUGUGAGGAUGAUCAGCCACACUGGGACUGAGACACGGGCCAGACUCCUACGGGAGGCAGCAGUGGGGAAUAUUGGACAAUGGGCGAAAGCCUGAUCCAGCAAUGCCGCGUGAGUGAUGAAGGCCUUAGGGUUGUAAAGCUCUUUUACCCGGGAUGAUAAUGACAGUACCGGGAGAAUAAGCUCCGGCUAACUCCGUGCCAGCCGCCGCGGUAA
rnacentral:rRNA from 1 species